rnacentral:tRNA from 1 species
UGCCCUAUAGCUCAACUGGCAGAGCAAGCAACUGUUAACCGCGAGGUUGUAGGUACCCUUCAAGAACACCUUUGGUGAACAAGUCCUACUAGGGCAU